UUUAUAUAUCCUAAAACAUGGAAUUACCUGAAAGAAAGGAAGAUCUUAUCUCGAUCAGUAAACAAUCGAGAUUUUAAAUCUUCAAACAUGCAUACAGAUCCAAUUUCUUCCUAAAAUACAAGUCCUAAUUAAUUCUAAAUCUAAAUUAUUCAAUUUACUUUAAAUAAUUUAAAUAUAAGUAAGUGAAUAUUAAAUAUGUGAAAUCCUAAAUUUUCAUAUUUAACUUGAACUGGGUUCGAAUUUCUCAAAGGAAACACUCUCGGUACACUGUAUGAGAGGGCUGGACUGGGCUUGAACCUGCAUGCACAAACAAGUCCGAUUAGAGACUGGUCAAGCUGAUGGAAACCAUAACAGAGAAUGAACUUACCUCAUGGUAUCAACGCAGGCCCCAAGUUAUGGCCUCCUUGUUCAUCAUGUAUGGUGGAUGAACCGGGUUUGAGACCUCGUGGCUAUAGAGGGAGGCUCAAGUUGCAGUAUGUAAUCUUCUCUAAUCUCAGUUAUCGUCCACUUGUUUCUCUCAUUCAUAAGUAAAAAUACAUAUGUUAUUAACAACGAAUAAUAAUCGAAAACGAUACAAAACGAAAGGGGACUGAUUUUACCACUGAACAUGCGGUCCCCAGUCACCAUGCACCACCACGUGCCACCAUUGGAAUAGCCAUGUGUUGUCGCACACGCCACCUGCGCACCACCACUAGACUUGUCACACGUCGCUGCACAUGGAGCUAAAUAUUCACAUAAAUCCAAUCGAAAAAACUCCAUAUAUCUAGCCCUUUUCCAUCGUGCAUAGAUCUAACCACCAUCACGCACAGUACCAACACUGUCGGAAUUUUCUCCCCACUGCCAUGUUACUGCAUACACGAAAUGGGCCUGUCUUCCUGUUGUAACAUCGCAUCUUCUUUCCCUAAUAAAUUGAUGUCCCUCGAUUUCUUUUCUGUUGGCAUCACACGCCAUAUAGCUCUCAUCUGGUCAUAGUCGUCGCACGCCAAGCCUCGCGCCUCCCUUCUUCUUUUCCUUCUUUUACCCCUUGUUCUUCCUUUUUUCUUCUUUUUUUUUCUUCUUUGUUGUGUCUUUUUCUUCUGUGCGGUGGUUCUUUCUUUCAUCCCGAUCAAUUACUGGUCCUUUCUCAUCAAGUCGCGUCGAUUCUUCUUCCAUUAAUGCACAAAUCUCCCUUUUUUACUGCACACCAUGCCCUCUUUUCUCUCUUCCGGUUGCCCUCUCCUCUCCCCUAGCUGUGAUGACCCACUCGUUCUCUCUCUCUCUCUCUCUUUCCCUUUGCACCUCUAUCUCUUCCCUCUCUCCCCUGAUCGACUCCCCCCUUCCUCAGGAAACCCUAAUCGGGUUUUCACUUAUAUCUUAUUCCUUGGUAGUCCAAUCUCCUUCAAUCUCACUCGUUCAUUUUCAGAUCUCGCCAUGUGUAUGCACACAUGACAGAGCGGCCUGGCCCACCUUGCCAUUUCAUUUGCUAAGGUGUCUAACACUUCUCAAAUUUACAUUUUAGCUUUAUUUUUUGUAUUUAUUGUCAUUUAGGUUUUUUUAUUCACAAAAUGUCACUAAAAUUUAAUUUUUUCUUCACUUAAGCCCCCAAAAUCUUAAUUUUUAUAAUUUUAGGUUUAAUUUAAGGAAUUCAUAAAGUCGCGGGUGUUACAUAAAUAAUUUAUAUAAAUUAAAAAAAUUAGUGGGACAAUAUUGGAACACCCACCGAAACCUUUUUUUUUCAUUUUUUAUUAAUAAAUAUAAUUAUUUAUUUAUUUAUUUAUUUAUUUUAUUAUAUUUUAUUUUAAUUUAAUGAAAAAAGGGGUAAAAUUUAUUAAGGAUUAAAUUGAAGAUAAUUUUUUUAAAAAAGGUGAAAAAUUGGGUUCAGGAGGUAUUUUUGAAAGAAAAAUUGAAAACCGAGAGUCAAAACGCAAUUUAAAAAAAUUUUACCACGUUAGACGCCCGAUCAGUACCCCGACCAAUCAGGAUGCACCAAGUGGUAGAGGCGCUUAUGUGGGAGGCCACGCGGAGGAGAGCCACGCGGGCAAUCCGCGUGCGCGUGAUCGAAUUGCCGAGGUCCAUUCCCACGCGCACGGACGACCCAGAGUGAAUCGCGUACGGACAGACCAGAUUGGAUCGCGAAGAAUGGCCCAAAUUCACUCCCUAUUUAAUCGUGAUCAGACGGUCUAGAUUAAACGCGAUGGACGGUCCAGAUCAAAAGCGGAUAUGUAUAAAUAACCCCAUUUGCACCCAAACCCUAACCCUAGCCGCCAGAACCCCUCGCCGGAGAAGACAAACCAGUUGCCGGAAAGCUGACCGCCGCCAUCCACCGCUACACCGGAACCUUUUCCGACCGCCAAAAACGGUAAAAAAAUUUCUUUUUACACGAAAUUCAAUUUUAAACCCACCAUGGCCAAAUGGAAGUGAAAGAACUGACCAAUUGGUCAGAAAACACAAACAAAGCCCGUGGGCUUUGCCUCGGAGAAUUUCACAAACUGCCUGCGAUGAAGCCUUUUUCGAUUCCUGUUUCACGUAAUUUUUCUACCGUUGUGAUCACCAUUUUCUUCUCUACAGGUUGACCGAAACAAAAUACUCAAUCGCAACAUGAACCGAAGGAGCCACCGCACCGGAGAGCCCUGCCGCUAGUGAGUUUCAAUUUUUCGUAUUUUUUCGGUCCACCGAGGCCCUUCAGCGUGUGUGCUUGCUGGAAUCGAUGCAAAAUCGGCCAAAUUCGGCCAAAAAUGGCCGACCCGAGAUAGACCGUUGUCGCCGUGCCGGAUUUUUAAAAUUAGUCUAGCGAGCCCUGGGACUGAUUUUUGGUUUAUUUGAAACAAUUGUAGGUACUAUAAACGCAUUUCAGUUCCUGAGAAAAAAUUCAGGGAACCCAGGGACCUCCCGUAUGCACAGUAAACCUUUUAGCUUUUCGGCGUCAAAUCGAGUAAGGACCACUUAUCCUAUUCCCUAUCAUAAAAUUGAAGUUUAAAUAAAUAAUAAUACAGUAUUUUAUAGAAAUUAAAUAGAUGUGAAUGACUAAUUACGGAUUACUAAUAGAGCCCGAACUGGACAUUGUUCCCCGUUGAUUUAUUUUAUAGUCUAAAAAUAUGAUAGUAUCUGAUUUAUCUAUUUUAUGGUUUAAAUACAUGUAUUACUGCCUUACCUGACCAUUGUUUGAUUUGAGAUUUGAGAUAUGAUUGCAUUAUCGGAUGCAUGUUUAUUUGUUUAUGUGAUUAUGUUUGAUUUGGUAAUGGAGACUAAAGGAAAACAGGAAAGGGGUGUCAUCAAAUAAACAGAUGGAAUGACAGUCUUACUAGAUAUCCUAGAAGAUGGUGAACGGACCCAGUACAUGGGGAACCCUACCGUGAACGUUGUCUCAUAUCGGACGAGGUACGGAGACUUGGGCAUUUGGCGCUCAUACCGGACGGGAUAUGGGACGGCCCGCUUUACCCUCAUAGCGGAUAGGGUAUUGAGGUUUAAUGUCUUGGCACUCAUACCAGACGGGGUAUGGGGACGGUCCUGUAAUUGAGAUUGUUAAAGGGAAGGGUUCACGUGUAGCGGGGACAUUUUUAUGAACCCCCACGGAUACUAGUAGGCUGGUAAAAUGAGAAACACUAUGAUUUGAUUUAUUGUUAAUGGAUGAAUCUAUGAUAUGUUCUAUGUUGAUGAUUGUUCAUAAAGUUAUGAUUUGUAUGGU
rnacentral:lncRNA from 1 species